ACUCGUUGGUGACCAGCGGAGGGAUCAUUACCGAGUUUACAACUCCCAAACCCAAUGUGAACGUUACCAAACUGUUGCCUCGGCGGGAUCUCUGCCCCGGGUGCGUCGCAGCCCCGGACCAAGGCGCCCGCCGGAGGACCAACCAAAACUCUUAUUGUAUACCCCCUCGCGGGUUUUUUUAUAAUCUGAGCCUUCUCGGCGCCUCUCGUAGGCGUUUCGAAAAUGAAUCAAAACUUUCAACAACGGAUCUCUUGGUUCUGGCAUCGAUGAAGAACGCAGCGAAAUGCGAUAAGUAAUGUGAAUUGCAGAAUUCAGUGAAUCAUCGAAUCUUUGAACGCACAUUGCGCCCGCCAGUAUUCUGGCGGGCAUGCCUGUCCGAGCGUCAUUUCAACCCUCGAACCCCUCCGGGGGGUCGGCGUUGGGGAUCGGCCCUGCCUUGGCGGUGGCCGUCUCCGAAAUACAGUGGCGGUCUCGCCGCAGCCUCUCCUGCGCAGUAGUUUGCACACUCGCAUCGGGAGCGCGGCGCGUCCACAGCCGUUAAACACCCAACUUCUGAAAUGUUGACCUCGGAUCAGGUAGGAAUACCCGCUGAACUUAAGCAUAUCAAUAA
rnacentral:rRNA from 1 species